rnacentral:lncRNA from 10 species
AAGGGUCUUGGGAACCUCCUUCAAGGGAAGGGGGAAGAGGAAGAGGAGGGUGGGCAAAGCCUGGCAGAGUAGAGGGGAGGCAGUUCUGCUUUCAGGCAAAGGCCCAUGGGUGAGGGACCCCCUGGGGAUGGCUCUUGACCACCUGCUCUAUUUGGAAACAUUUCUAGGACUGUUUUUAUAUAAAUGGAAAACAGGCAUAUGAAAGGUGCUCAACAUCAUUGAUCAUCAGAGAAAUGCAAAUGAAAACUAUAAUGAGAUAUCAUCCCAUCCUAGUUAAAAUACCUUUUAUCCAAAAGACAGGCAAUAACACUUUUCCUUCACUA